UACGUAGGGGGCAAGCGUUGUCCGGAAUCAUUGGGCGUAAAGAGCGUGUAGGCGGUCCGGUAAGUCGGCUGUGAAAGUCCAGGGCUCAACCCUGGGAUGCCGGUCGAUACUGCCGGACUAGAGUUCGGAAGAGGCGAGUGGAAUUUACGGUGUAGCAGUGAAAUGCGUAGAGAUCGUAAGGAAGACCAGUGGCGAAGGCGAGUUUCUGGACGGUAACUGACGCUGAGGCACGAAGGCCAGGGGAGCAAACGGG
rnacentral:rRNA from 1 species